GACGAACGCUGGCGGCGUGCUUAACACAUGCAAGUCGAACGGAAAGGCACUGCUUUUGUGGGGUGCUCGAGUGGCGAACGGGUGAGUAACACGUGAGUAACCUGCCCUUGACUUUGGGAUAACUUCAGGAAACUGGGGCUACUACCGGAUAGGAGCUCCUGCUGCAUGGUGGGGGUUGGAAAGUUUCGGCGGUUGGGGAUGGACUCGCGGCUUAUCAGCUUGUUGGUGGGGUAGUGGCUUACCAAGGCUUUGACGGGUAGCCGGCCUGAGAGGGUGACCGGCCACAUUGGGACUGAGAUACGGCGCAGACUCCUACGGGAGGCAGCAGUGGGGAAUAUUGCACAAUGGGCGGAAGCCUGAUGCAGCGACGCCGCGUGCGGGAUGACGGCCUUCGGGUUGUAAACCGCUUUCGCCUGUGACGAAGCGUGAGUGACGGUAAUGGGUAAAGAAGCACCGGCUAACUACGUG
rnacentral:rRNA from 1 species